UGAACGCUAGCUACAGCUUACACAUGCAAGUCGAGGGGCAGCAUGGUCUUAGCUUGCUAAGGCUGAUGGCGACCGGCGCACGGGUGAGUAACACGUAUCCAACCUGCCGUCUACUCUUGGCCAGCCUUCUGAAAGGAAGAUUAAUCCAGGAUGGGAUCAUGAGUUCACAUGUCCGCAUGAUUAAAGGUAUUUUCCGGUAGACGAUGGGGAUGCGUUCCAUUAGAUAGUAGGCGGGGUAACGGCCCACCUAGUCAACGAUGGAUAGGGGUUCUGAGAGGAAGGUCCCCCACAUUGGAACUGAGACACGGUCCAAACUCCUACGGGAGGCAGCAGUGAGGAAUAUUGGUCAAUGGGCGAUGGCCUGAACCAGCCAAGUAGCGUGAAGGAUGACUGCCCUAUGGGUUGUAAACUUCUUUUAUAAAGGAAUAAAGUCGGGUAUGCAUACCCGUUUGCAUGUACUUUAUGAAUAAGGAUCGGCUAACUCCGUGCCAGCAGCCGCGGUAAUACGGAGGAUCCGAGCGUUAUCCGGAUUUAUUGGGUUUAAAGGGAGCGUAGAUGGAUGUUUAAGUCAGUUGUGAAAGUUUGUGGCUCAACCGUAAAAUUGCAGUUGAUACUGGAUGUCUUGAGUGCAGUUGAGGCAGGCGGAAUUCGUGG
rnacentral:rRNA from 1 species